rnacentral:rRNA from 1 species
CCUACGGGAGGCAGCAGUGAGGAAUAUUGGUCAAUGGCCGAGAGGCUGAACCAGCCAAGUCGCGUGAGGGAAGACGGCCCUACGGGUUGUAAACCUCUUUUGUCGGGGAGCAAAGCGAGUCACGUGUGACUCAUUGAGAGUACCCGACGAAAAAGCAUCGGCUAACUCCGUGCCAGCAGCCGCGGUAAUACGGAGGAUGCGAGCGUUAUCCGGAUUUAUUGGGUUUAAAGGGUGCGCAGGCGGAGGUGCAAGUCAGCGGUCAAAUUGCGGGGCUCAACCCCGUACUGCCGUUGAAACUGCAGCCCUUGAGUGCGCGAGAAGUAUGCGGAAUGCGUGGUGUAGCGGUGAAAUGCAUAGAUAUCACGCAGAACUCCGAUUGCGAAGGCAGCAUACCGGCGCGCAACUGACGCUCAUGCACGAAAGCGUGGGUAUCGAACAGGAUUAGAUACCCCAGUAGUC